rnacentral:misc_RNA from 1 species
GGAAUCUUUGUUUCACACCUCCAGAAGCUCUGAACAUGAACCAGGCACCAUGAAUUGGAGGAAUGUGGUAAAAAAAAUGCAGUUGUUGGGUCUUGGCAUUGAUGUCUGUCCAUCUAGUGAUACAGUUCCUCAGCAGGACACUUAUGCUAGGGGUUCUGAUUAUCACCUGUUUAGACAAUGUGCUAAGCAGCAUUGGGAGUCGAUGAGAUGUUACUAUCAAAAAGCUGCAGUAGCUUAUGCAAAGGGAGAACGGGAAUAUGCAGCUUACCUUUCAGACCAGGGGAAAUUACAAACUAAAUUGGCUCAAGAGGCUGAUGAAAGAGCAAGCCAGAAUAUUUUUAAAGCUAGGAACAAGGGCAUAGAAAAUGUAGUAACAAUUGAUUUGCACGGGCAGCAUGUCAAACAAGCAAUGAAGCUGUUGAAACUUCACCUUCUAUUUGGAACUUAUGUGCAUUCAAUUCAAACUCUCAGAGUAAUCACAGGAUGUGGCAGUCAUGGUGUGGGAAAGUCAAAACUCAAACAAUCAAUCAUAAAGCUUCUGGAAAGGGAAGGGAUUAGAUGGAGUGAAGAGAACCGUGGAACAGUGCUAAUUAAGAUUGAUGGAUUGAAAGAAUAUAGCUUUCUGGAUUCAGAUAGUGAUACUGAACCACUGUAGCAUAACUAAUCCAGCCAAACCCACAGGAGCUUCCUUGAUUUUUUAUUCCCAAGAAAAGUCAGUAGGGAGGCAUUCGUCGUUUGCUGGUGAUCACAGGUUUCAGAUGUUCAUAUUUAUGUAGAAACUCCUUUCAUUUCAGUAGUUAGUGAAGGUUUAACGCUAGACGCAGGCGUUCCUAGAAGGAUGUGGUUGAUUUAGUCAGUGAUCCUGUCUGUAUUCUGGAUGUGUACCAUCCUGUAUCUUGUUCAUUUAUGAGAACUGAUAUAUGGUCAAGAUGUACAUCUGCAG